rnacentral:rRNA from 1 species
AGCGUUGUCCGGAAUUAUUGGGCGUAAAGCGCGCGCAGGCGGCCUUUUAAGUCUGAUGUGAAAGCCCCCGGCUCAACCGGGGAGGGCCAUUGGAAACUGGAAGGCUUGAGUACAGAAGAGAAGAGUGGAAUUCCACGUGUAGCGGUGAAAUGCGUAGAGAUGUGGAGGAACACCAGUGGCGAAGGCGACUCUUUGGUCUGUAACUGACGCUGAGGCGCGAAAGCGUGGGGAGCAAACAGGAUUAGAUACCCUGGUAGUCCACGCCGUAAACGAUGAGUGCUAGGUGUUGGGGGGUUUCCGCCCCUCAGUGCUGAAGCUAACGCAUUAAGCACUCCGCCUGGGGAGUACGGCCGCAAGGCUGAAACUCAAAGGAAAAUUGACGG